AGUCGUAACAAGGUUUCCGUAGGUGAACCUGCGGAAGGAUCAUUGUCGAAACCUGCCCAGCAGAACGACCCGCGAACUUGUGAUUAUGCUCGAGCGGGGACGGCGUGGGGAGCUCUGGCUGCCCUCGUUGGCCCCCUCCUGCUGUGUGGGUUGAGCGGGAUCUCUCGCUCGCUCGCUCCUCGCAGCAGAACAACAAACCCCCGGCGCGAGCUGCGCCAAGGAAAAUUUAACGAGAGCGAGCGCUCCCGCCGCCCCGGACACGGAUCGACGUGCGGGAUGCGUCUCCUUCUUUCAAUGAAAAUCAAAAACGACUCUCGGCAACGGAUAUCUCGGCUCUCGCAUCGAUGAAAAAUGCGAUACUUGGUGUGAAUUGCAGAAUCCCGUGAACCAUCGAGUCUUUGAACGCAAGUUGCGCCCCAAGCCUUUAGGCCGAGGGCACGCCUGCCUGGGUGUCACGCAUUGUUGCCCCCCAAACCCCCUCUUGGGGAAUAGCUGGUCGGGCGAAAAAUGGCCUCCCGUGCGCUCCCGCUCGCGGUUGGCCCAAAUCUGAGUCUUUCGGCGACCGUGCCGCGACGAUCGGUGGUGUAACAUGCCUCUCGAGCUCCUGUCGCGCGCUCGCGUUUCCGUGCCAUGGGCUCGCGAACCCUUGUAAGCUCCUUCUCUUCGAGACGGUGCUCGCUUUGCGACCCCAGGUCAGGCGGGACUACCCGCUGAGUUUAAGCA
rnacentral:sRNA from 1 species